rnacentral:rRNA from 1 species
UCCCCUCUCCAGUGAGAAUGCCCUUAAUAUCAACCCUGAUCAAGAGGAGCAGGUAUUAAGCACACUAACUAGUAGCUCAAGAUGCCUUGCUUAACCACACCCCCAAGGGAUACAGCAGUGAUAAAAAUUUAGCAAUGAACGUAAGUUUGACUAAGCUAUGCUACUCUAGGGUUGGUAAAUUUCGUGCCAGCCACCGCGGUCAUACGAUUAACCCAAACUAAUAAACACCCGGCGUAAAGCGUGAUUUAAAAUCAAAUAACAACUAAGCUGUAAAAAGUAAUAGUUGCAAACAAAAAUAAACGACGAAAGUGAUUUUAUAACCCUCGAACUCUCGAUAGCUAAGAUCCAAAUUCUGGGAUUAGAUACCCCACUAUGCUUAGCCUUAAACCUAAAUAAUUUUAUAACAAAAUUAUUCGCCAGAGAACUACAAGCCAGAGCUUAAAACUCAAAGGACUUGGCGGUGCUUUAUACCCGCCUAGAGGAGCCUGUUCUAUAAUCGAUAAACCCCGAUAAACCUUACCACUCUUUGCCAACUCAGCCUAUAUACCGCCAUCUUCAGCGAACCCUAAAAAGGAGCAAAAGUAAGCUCAAUCAUCACCAUAAAAACGUUAGGUCAAGGUGUAGCCUAUAGAGUGGAAAGUAAUGGGCUACAUUUUCUACUUUAGAAUACACGAAAGCCCCUAUGAAACUCUAGAGACCAAAGGAGGAUUU